AUUGAACGCUGGCGGCAGGCCUAACACAUGCAAGUCGAACGAGUGGCGGCCGGGUGAGUAAUGUCUGGGAAACUGCCCGAUGGAGGGGGAGAACUACUGGAAACGGUAGCUAAUACCGCAUACCAUCGGAUGUGCCCAGAUGGGAUUAGCUAGUGGGUGGGGUAACGGCUCACCUAGGCGACGAUCCCUAGCUGGUCUGAGAGGAUGACCAGGCACACUGGAACUGAGCCGCGGUCCGGACUAAAACGGGAGGGGGCGGUGGGGAAUAGUGCACAAGGGGAGCAAGCCUGGUGCGGCCAUGCCGCGUGGAUGGAGAGGGCAAUCGGGUUGGAGAGUACUUUCAGCGAGGAGGCGUUACUCGCAGAAGAAGGACCGGCUAACUCCGUGCCAGCAGCCGCGGUAAUUC
rnacentral:rRNA from 1 species